UCUACGGGUGGCAGCAGUGGGGAAUAUUGGGCAAUGGGCGCAAGCCUGACCCAGCAACGCCGCGUGAAGGAAGAAGGCUUUCGGGUUGUAAACUUCUUUUCUCAGGGACGAAGAAAGUGACGGUACCUGAGGAAUAAGCCACGGCUAACUACGUGCCAGCAGCCGCGGUAAUACGUAGGUGGCAAGCGUUAUCCGGAUUUAUUGGGUGUAAAGGGCGUGUAGGCGGGAGCGCAAGUCAGAUGUGAAAACUCAGGGCUCAACCCUGAGCCUGCAUUUGAAACUGCAGUUCUUGAGUGAUGGAGAGGCAGGCGGAAUUCCCGGUGUAGCGGUGGAAUGCGUAGAUAUCGGGAGGAACACCAGUGGCGAAGGCGGCCUGCUGGACAUUAACUGACGCUGAGGCGCGAAAGCGUGGGGAGCAAACAGGAUUAGAUACCCUAGUAGUC
rnacentral:rRNA from 1 species